rnacentral:rRNA from 1 species
UACGGGGGGAGCAAGCGUUGUUCGGAUUUACUGGGCGUAAAGGGCGCGUAGGCGGCCAGCACAAGUCAGUUGUGAAAUCUCCGAGCUUAACUCGGAAAGGUCAACUGAUACUGUGCGGCUAGAGUGCGGAAGGGGCAACUGGAAUUCUUGGUGUAGCGGUGAAAUGCGUAGAUAUCAAGAGGAACACUUGCGGCGAAGGCGGGUUGCUGGGCCGACACUGACGCUGAGGCGCGAAAGCGUGGGGAGCAAACAGG